rnacentral:rRNA from 1 species
UACGUAGGAGGCAAGCGUUGUCCGGAAUUACUGGGCGUAAAGCGCGUGUAGGUGGUGGGACAAGUCUGCUGUGAAAGCGCCUGGCUUAACCGGGCGAGGUCGGCGGAAACUGUCCGACUCGAGGACGGUAGAGGGGGGUGGAAUCCCGGUGUAGUGGUGAAAUGCGUAGAGAUCGGGAGGAACACCUGUGGCGAAGGCGGCUCACUGGCC